GGGAAGGUGGCUCCCCAGCAGAGCAUCUGCUUUGCAUACAGGAAGUCCCAGGUUCAAUCCCUGGCAUCUCCA